ACAGACAAGAGUUGCAAAAAAAAGUUUUAUCAAGCAGGCUAUUCAAUGUUCUGGUGGAUUAGUGUUUUCCGAAAAUGUCAGGAGGAUCGUAUUCACCAUUUCCGCUGUAGCCUUGGUCCUGCUAUUUCAGAAGCACAAGAAAAAACAUCAGAAAGGAUGAAGCGCGGGGCAUUUUAAAA